AGCGAACGUUUGCGGCGGGCCUAACACAUGCAAGUCGAACGAGAUCUCGGGCUUCGGUCCGGGUGAAAGUGACGCACGGGUGCGUAACACGUGGGUAAUCAACCCUUUGGAUCGGGACAACCCGGGGAAACUCGGGCUAAUACCGGAUACGUCGUCGGAGCUCUAGGGCUCUGACGGGAAAGGCCUGCAAGGGCUACCAGAGGACGAGCUCGCGGCCCAUCAGCUAGUUGGUGAGGUAAUGGCUCACCAAGGCGAAGACGGGUAGCUGGUCUGAGAGGAUGAUCAGCCACACUGGAACUGAGACACGGUCCAGACUCCUACGGGAGGCAGCAGUGGGGAAUAUUGCGCAAUGGGCGAAAGCCUGACGCAGCCACGCCGCGUGUGCGAUGAAGGUUUUCUCGGAUCGUAAAGCACUGUGGGGGGAGAAGAACAAAGCUGGUGAAGAGCCAGCCCUGACGGUAUCCCCUUAGCAAGCACCGGCUAACUCCGUGCCAGCAGCCG
rnacentral:rRNA from 1 species